rnacentral:snoRNA from 1 species
AAAAGGCCCUUUCGAAGCUGUGCUAUUCUUCAUUUUGAAUAUACAUAGUCAAAAUGCGGCCAAUAGAAAAAAUUCUACAAUAGGUCACUGGAUGUUUAUUUCAAUACAGAAUUCAGUAUUACCCAAGUAGAAGACAUUU